AUAUCCUUGCUGUGCCAAGAAAGAAAAGACCAUGGAUCUACUAGUUGCAGAUUUCAGCAGUAAUGCCAAGGGGGCAAGAAGUGACCAGCAGAACAAUUAGGCCAUGGCAACAGAAGCCAACUACAACCCAUGUUCCAAUCUAUGACCUCCCUCUCCUGCUGGUACAAGGAUAUGGGCAAGAGCUGAUAAUCAACUGACUAAUGAGGAUUGACUUCUACAAUUGAUGAGCAUGGAAUUGGAUGUGCCUAAAUCAACAGAAGAGGGAUUUUGAUGUCAUCACACUGUAGCCCCAGAAGACAGAACGCUCAAAGGUGUCAAUGGGCAGAAUUUGUAGAUGACAUACAGCAUCCAAUGGAUUACUCCUAUUCAGUAUUCCUUAGAGCAAAGGAUGCAAUGUCAAGCAAGUUGUGAUACCUCAACUAUCUACAAUUUAACACCAAGGAAAGAACACUGUUUGGAGAAAUGAGAAAGAUUAUCAUCAGUGUCUUUCAGAAGUCAUCAAAAGAAGAAAAGGAGAAAAGAGAGGAGAAAGCAGAAAGGUA
rnacentral:lncRNA from 1 species